rnacentral:rRNA from 1 species
AUGCUGGCCGUGAAGCGGGCGGAGACGGCUGGCCGCUCCCACCUCGCCGACACCUUCGAUCUGCGCACCCUGCGGGCCCUCGGUGUUGUUUUGCUGGAAGAUUUCAAACAACGGCUAAGAGAAGAAACCUCACUCAAUGCAACCGGUCUUGAUAAACUUGCGCUAUCGAGGGAUCCUGAUGCGGAUUGUAGCAUCAGUGGUACUAGUAGUGAUUCCGAGGUGUUCAGGCGGCGCAGCAAAGAUCAGCCAAUAAAGCCAAGCGGUGUCAAGAGGAAACGAAAGCAGACGCAUGAUGGGUAA